rnacentral:rRNA from 1 species
CCUACGGGAGGCAGCAGUGAGGAAUAUUGGUCAAUGGGCUUACGCCUGAACCAGCCAAGUCGCGUGAGGGAAGACUGCCCUAUGGGUUGUAAACCUCUUUUGUCAGGGAGCAAUUGGCGCUACGUGUAGCGUUAUCGAGAGUACCUGAAGAAAAAGCAUCGGCUAACUCCGUGCUAGCAGCCGCGGUAAUACGGAGGAUGCGAGCGUUAUCCGGAUUUAUUGGGUUUAAAGGGUGCGUAGGCGGACUGGAAAGUCAGCGGUAAAAUCGAGAGGCUCAACCUCUUUCCGCCGUUGAAACUGUCGGU